CAAACAAUAUAGGCUAUCUUGCCUCACCGAAAUUAAAUAAGAUGUAUUCCAAAGCAAUGCUACCCAAUAUUUCCUCAGUUCUUUCAAGUCACUUGGCCCUGUGUUCUGUAAUCUUACCAUUUUACAAUGUCAUGCAAACUUUGUGUAAGAUCAAAGAAAUUCAUGUACAAAACUGCUGCUGAGUAACUACAGGAAGCAUAUUUCUCCAGAAAACAUGUUUAUACUUGCUUCUGAACUGAAUUUGAGUACAUGUACAAGUUAUUGUACAUUUGCUACGUACAAUAAAUACUGCAUAUAAAAUACAUAUUGUACAUACAUACAUAGAGACCUUCUUUAUCAUUUCCCUUGCAGCAUGUUACAUUCACAUUUACGAACACACACUUAUACCAAGACACAUACUAUCAUUCAUGCAACAGAAAGGCUGGGCAGCGAAAUACAUACAUACCAAUACAAAUUGGACAUAUACACGCCUAUUCAAUUAUUCUUGACUGAGAGAGAGCCAUCCACACAUAUGUUUGGCCUGUCCACGUAGUGCAUGCUUAUACACACAGGGCCAAGUGACUUGAAAGAACUGAGGAAAUAUUGGGUAGCAUUGCUUUGGAAUACAUCGUAUUUAAUUUCGGUGAGGCAAGAUAGACUAUAUUGUUUGUAGUACCGUAACUUGGCGUCAUUUUGAUAUCAAUACUUUUGAGUAACUUGGCAUUUUUGUACGUUGAAAACGUGUUUUUUAUGAGAUUGAAACUACAACGGCUGUCACGCGCGUGCAGGCAGGCUAGUCUGGAGACUUGAGCGGCAGUUGCCAGAAAUGAGACCAUUGUUGUACAACCCCAGUAGUAUAUAUCCUACACUUUCUGUCAAAAAUGAUUUAUGACCCCUGUGAUUUAUGACCCCCCUGACAGCUUGAUUGACAGGUCAGUUUGACUGACAGACCAGUUUGAUUGCCAGGUCAGUUUGUCAGGGAGAUUUCUGACAACUCCCCAGUCAGUGUUUAAAAGGAGACAUCCGUUUUGCCAGUGAGGUUUCUGACAUUAUACAUUUAUAUGACACUAUAUAUUUGUGUGCGGCAUGUAGUGACAUGUGUUGACCCGACCUGUUGGCUUUGUGUGUUGUCCAGGGCAUGUCAUGACAUGUGUUGACCCAGACCUGUUGGUUGUAAUGCCUGGGGACCCGUGAGGUUAAUUAUCGAGUUGGCAAGCGCAUCUUGAGAAGCCUAUGAUGAUGGAUUCUUUCACUUUGAGUGAGUUGAUUUAUUUGUUCUUACAGAAUUUGUUUUAUUUAAAAUUGCAUGUAACGUUACAAACUUUUAGUGUUAUGUCUGAUUUGUUUUGUUUAACAGGUGGCCUAUUUAUUUGAUAGGUGCUGCUGAACGCGAUACCAUUAAUGCAAUCAGUGAAAUUCAAGGAUUCGACUCUCUUAAUAAUAAUAAUAAUAAUAAUACAUUUAUUUUAUAUAGCGCUUUUCAUGAACUCAAAGACGCUUUACAAUAAGUGGUACAUACAUACAUACAUACAUGCAUACAUACAUACAAUGAAACAAAAAAUUCAGAGAAAAAUAUAAAUAAAUAAUUAAUUAAUAAAUAAAUAAAUAAAUAAAUAAAUAAAUAAAUAAAUAAAUAAAUAAAUAAAUAAAUAAAUAAAUAAAUUUUAAAAAAGGGGGAAGACAAACAUCAACGGAAAGCUAGGGAAAAGAGAUGGGUUUUAAGACGUGAUUUGAAGGAGGUGAGUGAGUCAGAGGUACGGAUGUCAGGGGGGAGGGCAUUCCAGAGUUUGGGGGCAACUGAGAAGGCGUGGUCGCCAAAAGAACAGCGCUGAGAGGGGAUGGUGGUGAGGAGGCUGGCAGUGGAUGAACGUAACUGUCUGGGUGGCUGGUAGGGGAGCAGGAGAUCAGAGAGGUAAGUGGGUGCGAGGCCAUUUAGGGAUUUGUAAACUAGAAGGAGGAGUUUGAAUGUGAUGCGUGAUGUGAUUGGGAGCCAGUGUAAAUCUUUCAAGAUAGGGGUGAUGUGAGACCGGGAGGAUGUGCGGGACAGUAUUCUUGCGGCCGAGUUCUGAACCAAUUGCAGUUUGUGUAGGAGGCGGGAGGGAAGACCAGUGAGGAGUGCAUUGCAGUAGUCCAGUCUGCUGGAAAUGAAGGCGUGAAUGAGUUUUUCUGCAUCGGGAUGGGUGAAAGAGGGUCUGAGUCUGGAGAUAUUGCGUAGAUGAAAAAAUGAAACCUUGACAGUGUUGUUGAUGUGCUUUUCAAAGGAGAGGGAUGGAUUGAGUAUGACACCGAGGUUGCAGACCAGGGGGGAGGUGGAGACAGGGGUACCUUCAAUGGUGAGGGAGAUGUUGUGUAGUUUUGUGAGCUGGGGUUUUGGUCCGAUGAGAAUUAUUUCAGUUUUUUCACAGUUGAGUUUAAGAAAAUUGUGUUGCAUCCAGGAUUUGACGUGUGUCAGACAGUUUUCAAUAAUAGCAGUGGGUGGCUGAUUUGUGGAUGUAGAGCUGAUAUAGAUUUGGGUGUCAUCUGCAUAGAAGUGGAAAUUGAGACCAAAGCUGCGGAGGAUGGGGCCAAGGGGAAGCAUAUAGAUGGUGAAGAGGAGGGGACCAAGAACAGAACCUUGUGGGACACCCUGUGUGACAGUAGCAAGAUCUGAGGUGUGACCAUGGAUAGAUAUGAAUUCUGACCUGUUUGUGAGGUAUGAGUGAAACCAGUUGAGAGAUGGGCCAGUGAUGCCUAGGUGAGACAGACGGGUGAGGAGGAUGUUGUGGUUGACUGUGUCAAAAGCGGCAGAGAGAUCCAGGAGGAUGAGUAUGCUAUAUGCACCAGAGUCAGAGGAUAGGAGGAGGUCAUUUACCACUUUGGUGAGGGCUGUUUCUGUGCUGUGAUGUGGUUGGAAGCCGGACUGAAGGGGCUCAAAGAGGUUAUUGUCGGACAUGUAUGAACGGAGUUGGGAAGCAACAACUUUUUCCAGAAGUUUGGACAUGAAUGGGAGGUUGGAGAUGGGGCGGUAGUUGGAGAGGGUGUUUGGGUCCAGGCCAGGAGGGUUAAGGAUUGGGGUGACGGCAGCAGUCUUGAAGAUGGAGGGGACAGCACAGUGGGUCAGAGACAGGUUAAUGAGCUUAAUACUUAAUUAACUCUUGGUUAGUAUGGUCUAUUCAUUUGUGUCUAUGAAAGAAAAUAGCAUUUUGACAAGUGUCAUUAUUUCGCUAUUAAUUAAAGUUUUUAAUUAAAAAUUUUAUUAUAACUUUCAGUGUCUGGUGAUAUAAUUACACCUGUAUUGUGUGAUCAAAGUGUGCCCGAACAGCAGGCUCUUGGUAAGCGUGGACCUAUUCUUCUAUCUCUUUUUUCAUGAAUAUCCAUUUUCGGUGAUAAAACUGUAUUAUUAACGCUGGUGAAUGCGAUUUAGUAGGUCAGCAAAAUAUGGUACAAUCCAUCACUCCGCCACGGUUCAAAUCACCGCAGCAAGGGGAGUCAAGAAAGUUUUCAGGCCAAUCAUUGGAAAGGCCUGCACCUGCUGAUGGUAAAGCUGGAGGGGGUUCUAAGCGGAAAGAUCUCAUUCACAAGACUACAGGUCGGCAUUUCGGCAAAGCGUUAAAAUUCGUCGGAGGACAAUGUCAUGGUUGAUGACAACUUGGAGCUAACAGUUUCUAUAACACGGAGUAAGAACAGUGGGGUGUAUAGAAAGCUGUGUGACCUUGCACAAAAUGAAGUGAUUAGCAAGAACAGAAUUAAUUUAUUAUGUCCUUCUAACAUUUCAAAUAAUUUGUGUUUCACAAUCAUUAUCUGGAACCGCAAGCACCCACCAACACACUAGAGAAGGUUGCUGCAGACACACAUACACGCACAGGUUUUACAGUACAACAGAAAAUAAGGUUUAAAGAUGUUUCAAAGUUUGGGAUUAAAAUUGUUGUAUUCUACAGAUCGGGUACAAACAUGUUGCAAAAAUAUCAGACAAGUGACAUGCCACACAGCAGGACGGCAUUCUUACAUCUUCACGACGACCAUUACUAUAUGAUACAAAAUCUUAAGGCAUUCCUAGGCGAACCGUAUGUUUGUCAGUUCUGCUAUGCUGGAUUUAGUAAUCGCCGGGACCACAGUUGCAAGUUCAGUUGUGAUGUGUGCAAUGACUCUGAAUGUCACAAGAAACCGAGAAUGCCAAAAUAUUGCAAUGAUUGUUCAAGGUAUUGCGAAUCAGGCUUUUGUUUUGAGAAACACAAACAGCCAGUUUCCACGGAUGAGUCAGGGGUGUUAGUGGCGCCAUGUGAUGUUACAAAGUAUUGUAAGAAAUGCAACAGAUGCUACCAUGUCAGUGUAAAAAAACCAAAAGCGCACAAAUGUGUUACAGGGCGUUGUGUUCAUUGCGGCGAAGAUUUGUUACCAGAUGCAGAACAUAAUUGCUACAUACAACCUAUCGCAUUAAAAAAAAAGGAAA